GAGAAGGGUAUGGAUUAUUUGCUAAUUUGGAUGAGUGUUCCCUUGCUAUGAACUGGAGACGCACUAAUACACCUUUUGCUACGGCCGUCUGAUCUACUGAUCGCAAUCUGAUCAGGUAAGGCACAAACUGGGGAGAUCUGCAUGUCAGCCACUCAGGGGUUACAUACAAGUAUGCUGACUUCAUGUAAUCAGGAAAAGUGACAGCACCUGUGUUUUACAGCUUUACAAGCCAGAUACCAGAUGAAAGCAGUCCUUCCUAGUUUCUGGUAGUCAAACUUCAAGAACAGCUUACUAAAUCUGUGUUUUCCUUACCAAAUUGUCUUUCUGCUUUAAUUUCAUUGCCCUCAGUAUGUUCGUUAACAAAAAAUUUCUGCAACAUCACAGUAUAUUUUGAGUUGGAAAGGACCCACAUUACUACUUCCUCUUGCAGCAGACAAAAAAGCCCUGAAACUUCUGGUUUACUGCCAGAAUAGAAAUGCAAAUCACACCUACAAAAAAAAAAAAAAAGCCUUGUAUAUCUCAUCAUUCACAACACUUUCCAAAAACAGAUACAAUCCAAAAGUAGUAGCUAACAGAAAAGGGAUGAGGAAGCAAAGAUGUAAAAGCUUUGUAAUUUCUAUGUGCAGCAUGCUACUUCAUCACCUUUCUGAAGUAACUCCAGUACCUAAAUAGAAGUACUUGCAUUGUAGUUUGCAGCACCACCGCAAUGCUGUUCUCCUCAUCACCCAAAGCACUGAAGUACAGGCAUUCAGUGACACCCCACAGUGAGCUCUGAUUCCAGGAAUCCGGGCAGAUCCAAAAUCACAGUUGUUAGUCCCAGUCUGAUACUCACCUUAAUGCUUUUUUAAAUAAUUAUUUGGGUUCUCUUACAAUUCCUCUGGGAAAUCAGAAAGACUUUUCGGAGAGCCACCAAGAAAGUGGAUGAUUUGGUAUGUAUCUACUGGGAGGUGACUGACAGAAGAGGGGCUGGACUACAGACCGAGAGCCAAUGAUUGAGAAGAAAAAAACCUGAGCAAAUAGGGUAAAUCAGCAGCUGCACAAUGCGCUCGAGAAAGCAGACAGAAGAGAACCAGGUGGCUUGGCAGGCAUUCAGAAAGGGACGUUUAGGGAAAUCAUACGAAGUAAGUGAGCCACGGGGGUGAACAGGUAGGAAAACCAGACAGAUGGAAAGGGUAUCAAAUGAAGAUCAGAACCCAACCACUCAGAUGUGAUCAUAAUGUUGAUUAGUUAUACCAACUACAUUUCUGGUUUCACUGAAACCGUGCUAGACAGUUUUCUGAAAGAUUUUCUGGACCCUGAAUGAAAAUACUGGUAUUUAAAUAGGAGAAAUAAACACAGAGAAACUUAGUUCAUAAAACCUAUUGGAGAAGAACUAAGCAAAUCCAGUCUCAUCACUCUUGUCACUUAAACAUACUCUGCCUGCAUACAGUGCAUUGAAGUCCAGAAAUCCCUCUCUUGGACCCCCUCCAGACAAACAAGAACAGCAAACGCUCAGGCUGAACUCCGUUCAAUGGAGAUCUCAUUAGUUUUACACACUCCAGAACUUAAAAGUUACCUAUAAUCAAGGAAACUAAAAUGAGGGUAAUAAAAGGUAGCCUACUUCAAAUUACCAAAGGGUAAGCCCAUCCAACCACCUAUUUGCAAAGCCAUCCAUAACUUCCCAGAAUCACAGCAGUUAGGUGUGCCCGUACCUGCGUUCUGACUGACUGUGAGUCUCUCUCUGCUCUCAAAGAAAGCACGGGCCAAAACACCACCAAUUCCCACAGUUUCACCCAUUCUGAAAUGUCAGCCCGUCCUCAGUUCCUCCCAGCCAGAAAACACCAAGCGACUUUUCAAGUGCAUCUCAGAUUCCAAGAAAUACCAGAAUAACUGUGCUAAACCCUCGGGCUUUAGAAAUUAAGUGCUUACAGCCAGCAGCGCACACUAACAAGGAUGAAAGCAGAAUCAAGCAAUGGGGAUUACAGAGACACCAGUCUAGGCUGUCCUUAAGGGACAGUAUCAGUUUUCUUGAGAUUUUCUCCCUUUGUUAACUCAUUAUGACCGCUGCCAAGCGAGAACUAAAAGCACACGGGCCUUCUGUGCCAGAUUUCAAUCCAUUACUUGAUUUUAAAUUCAUUUAAUGAUAUAAGCCAACCACACUCACUUUAUAUAGCAGAGACUAUCACAACUUUUCAAAUACGAUGGAGAGCAGCUUGGCAACUUCGUCCACCAGUUCCCUCAGAACCGGUGCACAGAUCCCACCGGGUCCCACCUUCAGGUUCUUUAUGUGGUCAGCUGAUAUUUGUCAACUGUUCAUACUUUAUUAUUGCUAACUAGGGGUAUUUACACGUAUUUUUUGUGUUAAAAAAAAAAAACAAAAAAACACAAAACAAUCCCAUAAGCAUUAGGAAGGCAAAACCAGGAAUUACAGGCAGUGCUGUCCUGCGUGACCACUGCGGGUCCGGCAGAACGAUGGAGCACCGGGACACCGACCGAGGUGUCUCACUCACUCACACACACACACACACACACACACACACACACACACACACACACACACCUUAAUUCGCAGGGAUCUCCCACGCCGCUCGGAGGACCCACCCCCCCCCACCCCGUUUCCAUCCCAGCCGCCCGAACCUCCCCAGCUGUCAUCGCGCUGAGUCACCAGCGCCCAUCGCAACGGGGCUGGAAGGAGCCACGUCCCACCGCCCCCCCGCGCGGAUACGGGCACGGGCCCGAGCGCCCUCCGCCCGCCCCUCGCAGCGGGGUUCGGAAGGAAGAUCCCUGCCGGAGCAGCCGAUGCCAUUGCUGAGGUUCCAGCUGCAGCUCACCGGUGCGGUCUCCGCAGGCAGGCAGUGAAAACACCAGAACUACUUUUACCUCCCACCGUGGCCGGCCUUUCUAUUUCCAAGUGCUUGACCUUCACGCGACAUGCUCACAGCACGAGUAACGGGACAUUAAUUAGAAAACAAAGCUUCCAAACCCAUAGAAGUUAUUUGUAAUCUUCUAGAUUGCUCCUGGUGUGAACAGCAGAAAAACCAGACACUGGGAGAGAGAAUCCUGUCCCCUCGAUAUUGGCCACCUCACUGACACUUCUUACCAACACACGAGCUCUGCUUUAAUUUACACAGUUUAUUACAAAGCCUCAGAGAACUUGGAAGCAGAUAGAAAAAUGUUUGUUUUAUAUCUUUUUGCUUCCAACACGCUCACCUUUUCUUAAUGUCAGUCUAACUUAAGCUCCAGUCCUGUAACGACUUCUGUUUUGAUAAGUAUCUGGAUGCAAAUUAACUCUGUAUGCUUAUUUCCUACAGGAAAUGGCUAAGGCAGUUUGCAUCAUUUAGUUACAUCAUCUAGCAUUUUAACACUAUUAGUAAUUAGUAACUCAUUGUAAUUUAUUGUUGAGUUUACAGAAAGGGCGUAACUCACUUGAAAAACGUUCAAAAUGUUUUACAACAAACAACAUCUAUCUUCUGGGGAGCCACAAGUGUGUACAAUGUGAUAAAGGCAGAGAACAAAGCAGCAGAGGAACACGUGAUAGAAAUGAAGGUGAGUCAUAUUGAGGGCUUGCAGACCUAGUUCAUCUAAAGUCACAGCAACACGUUACUUGCCCAAAGCACCUUUGUUACACUAUUCCCAGAAAGUAAGUGUUGGGUAAGGAAGGAAUUCAUUAUUGGCAAGAUGACUUUCAAGAUUAAGUGGUGGGUGAAGAUUCUUUCAUGUUGCCAGAUGCCUGGUUUGAAUGGGCAGGAAGCCUUGUGACAGCAGUGGCGUGAGCUUGGUCUUAUUCAAAACCUAAGCAGCAAUGCCAAAGAUGAAUGAUCUGAACGCACGGUGCAAAACUGAGUGCACUACAUAGAAACACCAGCACUGGUUUCACUAAAUGUGAAAUCUCUCCCUCUCAAACUAAUUAGCUUUCUGCUCCUAGCCAAGAUCUCCUGGUUUGGCUUAAAGCACAUAGAAGAAUCAAUGUAUGAUAAACUGAUACUGCUGUUCUCCACGCUAUGGAUUUUAACCAGUGAAUAAACAGAGGAAGGUUCCCAUUCUAGAGCUACUAAGGUAGUAAUUUUCACAAGUUUUACAUCCGCAUUCAGAUGAAACAAAAUAAAAUAAACCUCUUCCUGCUA